UUAGUCUGGGAUUGGAACAGAAUGUAAUUGAACCAGAAUGACAAUCUAUAACAAAGAUUUAAUAAUUCACAAAACCGUAAUACUACAGGGAUAUCCCCCCGGCCUGCAGGCGUACAACAUCUUGUAUUACUGAGAGUCUGGACGUUUGGUAUCGUUUCUAAAAGCACAUUACUUAGGGUGUUUUUUGGCACUUUGGUUGAUGUUUUAUUCGAGCUGCAGAACACAGGGAUGAGGGGAAAACUUCUCCUUUAAGGUCUACCACUUCUCCUUUAAGGUCUACCACUUCUCCUUUAAGGUCUACCACUUCUCCUUUAAGGUCUACCACUUCUCCUUUAAGGUCUACCACUUCUCCUUUAAGGUCUACCACUUCUCCUUUAAGGUCUACCACUUCUCCUUUAAGGUCUACCACUUCUCCUUUAAGGUCUACCACUUCUCCUUUAAGGUCUACCACUUCUCCUUUAAGGUCUACCACUUCUCCUUUAAGGUCUACCACUUCUCCUUUAAGGUCUACCACUUCUCCUUUAAGGUCUACCACUUCUCCUUUAAGGUCUACCACUUCUCCUUUAAGGUCUACCACUUCUCCUUUAAGGUCUACCACUUCUCCUUUAAGGUCUACCACUUCUCCUUUAAGGUCUACCACUUCUCCUUUAAGGUCUACCACUUCUCCUUUAAGGUCUACCACUUCUCCUUUAAGGUCUACCACUUCUCCUUUAAGGAAUCAUGUUGUAACGAUUUUACUGAGUUCCAGUUCAUAUAAGGAAAUCAGUCCAAUUUAAAUAAUUUCAUUAGGCCCCUAAUCUAUGGAUUUUAUGACAGGGAAG